rnacentral:rRNA from 1 species
GACGAACGCUGGCGGCGUGCUUAACACAUGCAAGUCGAACGAUGAAGCCGGAGCUUGCUCCGGUGGAUUAGUGGCGAACGGGUGAGUAACCCGUGAGCAAUCUGCCCUUGACUCUGGGAUAACUGCGGGAAACUGUAGCUAAUACCGGAUACGACACCUUGGGGCAUCCCAGGGUGUGGAAAGAAUUUCGGUCAAGGAUGAGCUCGCGGCCUAUCAGCUAGUUGGUGAGGUAAUGGCUCACCAAGGCGACGACGGGUAGCCGGCCUGAGAGGGUGACCAGCCACACUGGAACUGAGACACGGUCCAGACUCCUACGGGAGGCAGCAGUGGGGAAUAUUGCACAAUGGGCGAAAGCCUGAUGCAGCAACGCCGCGUGAGGGAUGAAGGCCUUCGGGUUGUAAACCUCUUUUAGCAGGGAAGAAGCGAAAGUGACGGUACCUGCAGAAAAAGCACCGGCUAACUACGUGCCAGCCGCCGCAGUAA